GAGGGGUAGAGGAAGCUUGCUUUCUUGAGACCGGCGCACGGGUGCGUAACGCGUAUGCAACCUACCUUUAUCAGGGGGAUAGCCCGGAGAAAUCCGGAUUAACACCGCAUAAAAUCACAGAACAGCAUUGUUUAAUGAUCAAAUAUUUAUAGGAUAAAGAUGGGCAUGCGUGCCAUUAGCUAGUUGGCGGGGUAACGGCCCACCAAGGCGACGAUGGCUAGGGGCUCUGAGAGGAGAAUCCCCCACACUGGUACUGAGACACGGACCAGACUCCUACGGGAGGCAGCAGUAAGGAAUAUUGGUCAAUGGGGGCAACCCUGAACCAGCCAUGCCGCGUGCAGGAAGACUGCCCUAUGGGUUGUAAACUGCUUUUGUACGGGAAUAACCACUGGUAUGUAUACCAGCCUGAAUGUACCGUAAGAAUAAGGAUCGGCUAACUCCGUG
rnacentral:rRNA from 1 species